GACGAACCGUGCGAACGUUAUUCGGAAUCACUGGGCUUAAAGCGCGUGUAGGCGGACCGCCGCGUCGGCUGCUGAAAUCCCCCGGCUCAACCGGGGAACGGGCACCGAUACGGGCGGUCUGGAGGGGGGUAGGGGGGCCUGGAACUUCCGGUGGAGCGGUGAAAUGCGUUGAGAUCGGAAGGAACGCCCGUGGCGAAAGCGAGGCCCUGGACCCUUACUGACGCUGAGACGCGAAAGCCAGGGGAGCGAACGGG
rnacentral:rRNA from 1 species